rnacentral:rRNA from 1 species
GUAGGGAAUAUUGCACAAUGGGCGAAAGCCUGAUGCAGCAACGCCGCGUGCGCGAUGAAGGCCUUCGGGUCGUAAAGCGCUUUUCGGGGGGAUGAGAAAGGACAGUACCCCCGGAAUAAGUCACGGCUAACUACGUGCCAGCAGCCGCGGUAAGACGUAGGUGGCGAGCGUUAUCCGGAUUUACUGGGCGUAAAGCGCGUGCAGGCGGUUCGGUAAGUCGGGCGUGAAAUCUCCUGGCUCAACUGGGAGGGGCCGUCCGAAACUACCGGACUUGAGGGCAGUAGAGGGAGGUGGAAUUCCGGGUGUAGUGGUGAAAUGCGUAGAUAUCCGGAGGAACACCGGUGGCGAAAGCGGCCUCCUGGGCUGCCCCUGACGCUCAGACGCGAAAGCUAGGGGAGCGAACGGGAUUAGAAACCCGGGUAGUCC